CCUACCCCUAGAGGCAUUGCAGGUAUGGUUGGUGUGUCAGAUGGGCAUCAGUAGGUGACAGAGAAGAGAGGCUAUGUCUAUGCUUAGUGUUCUGAUCCAGGAACAUCUGAAUGAUUAGCAUCCUAAUAUU